rnacentral:rRNA from 1 species
UACGUAGGUGGCAAGCGUUGUCCGGAUUUAUUGGGUUUAAAGGGUGCGUAGGCGGCUUUAUAAGUCAGUGCUGAAAUAUCCCGGCUUAACCGGGAGGGUGGCAUUGAUACUGCAGAGCUUGAGUGAAGUCGAGGUAGGCGGAAUUGACGGUGUAGCGGUGAAAUGCUUAGAUAUCGUCAAGAACACCGAUAGUGAAGACAACUUACUAGACUUCAACUGACGCUGAGGCACGAAAGUGUGGGGAUCAAACAGG